UAUUAACUGUUGUCUGUCAAUUAUAAAAAUAGCAAUUAUAAAAAUACACAUAAUAACAACAGAUUAAUCUUUAGAACUGUUCGCAAAAUUUUUGGUUUGGAUACAAAAAACCAAGUGAAAAUGAUACUGGAAAGACUGUUUACCGUUUGACUCCUGUCCCAAUCUAACCUGGUGGGUUCAAAAAGUAGGGACUGCGCUGGAAACAUGAGUGGAUUAAAAUGAUCAUCCCUUUUUGAAUUAAUAGUCGGUAAGUAUAAUGUGCUCCACUCAGCUAAUCAAGUUUUGUUUGCUUUUUUUGUAUUACAUUUAAGCAAUAGACUAUUUUUUAUGUU